UACGAAGGGUGCUAGCGUUGUUCGGGAUCAUUGGGCGUAAAGAGCGCGUAGGCGGUCCGGUAAGUCGGCUGUGAAAGUCAAGGGCUCAACCCUUGAAAGCCGGCCGAUACUGUCGGACUAGAGUCCGGAAGAGGCGAGUGGAAUUCCCGGUGUAGCGGUGAAAUGCGCAGAUAUCGGGAGGAACACCGGUGGCGAAGGCGGGUCUCUGGGCAGUAACUGACGCUGAGGAGCGAAAGCGUGGGGAGCGAACAGG
rnacentral:rRNA from 1 species